rnacentral:tRNA from 1 species
UCCCUGGUGGUCCAGUGGCUAAGACUCUGCCCUCCCAAAGCAGGGGACCAGGGUUCGAUCUCUCGUCAGGGAA